rnacentral:rRNA from 1 species
UACGUAGGCAGCAAGCGUUGUUCGGAGUUACUGGGCGUAAAGGGUGUGUAGGCGGUUCUUUUAAGUUUGGUGUGAAAUCUCCCGGCUCAACCGGGAGGGUGCGCCGAAUACUGAGGGACUAGAGUGUGGGAGAGGAAAGUGGAAUUCCUGGUGGUAGCGGUGAAAUGCGUAGAUAUCAGGAGGAACACCGGUGGUGUAGACGGCUUUCUGGACCAUAACUGACGCUGAGACACGAAAGCGUGGGUAGCAAACAGG